CCUACGGGUGGCAGCAGUGGGGAAUAUUGGACAAUGGGGGGAACCCUGAUCCAGCCAUGCCGCGUGUGUGAAGAAGGCCCUCGGGUUGUAAAGCACUUUCAGUGAGGAAGAACGCCUGGUGGUUAAUACCCAUCAGGAAAGACAUCACUCACAGAAGAAGCACCGGCUAACUCCGUGCCAGCAGCCGCGGUAAUACGGAGGGUGCGAGCGUUAAUCGGAAUUACUGGGCGUAAAGCGCGCGUAGGUGGCUUGAUAAGCCGGUUGUGAAAGCCCCGGGCUCAACCUGGGAACGGCCUCCGGAACUGUCAAGCUAGAGUGCAGGAGAGGAAGGUAGAAUUCCCGGUGUAGCGGUGAAAUGCGUAGAGAUCGGGAGGAAUACCAGUGGCGAAGGCGGCCUUCUGGACUGACACUGACACUGAGGUGCGAAAGCGUGGGGAGCAAACAGGAUUAGAUACCCCGGUAGUC
rnacentral:rRNA from 1 species